rnacentral:rRNA from 1 species
AUUGAACGCUGGCGGCAGGCCUAACACAUGCAAGUCGAGCGGAGCGGCGGACGGGUGAGUAAUGCCUAGGAAUCUGCCUGGUAGUGGGGGAUAACGUCCGGAAACGGGCGCUCAUACCGCAUACUAUCAGAUGAGCCUAGGUCGGAUUAGCUAGUUGGUGGGGUAAAGGCCUACCAAGGCGACGAUCCGUAACUGGUCUGAGAGGAUGAUCAGGCACAAGAGAAAUGAGACACGGUCCAGACUCCUACGGGAGGCAGCAGUGGGGAAUAUUGGACAAUGGGCGGAAGCCUGAUGCAGCGACGCCGCGUGGGGGAUGAAGGCUUUCGGGUUGUAAACCUAGUUCGCUAUCGAACGGGUAGGUGGAGAAGAAGCGCCGGCUAACUACGUGCCAGCAGCCGCGGUAAUAC